GACGAACGCUGGCGGCGUGCCUAAUACAUGCAAGUCGAACGAGAGCGACCGGUGCUUGCACUGGUCAAUCUAGUGGCGAACGGGUGAGUAACACGUGGGUAACCUGCCCAUCAGAGGGGGAUAACAUCCGGAAACGGAUGCUGAAACCGCAUAGGUCUUCGAACCGCAUGGUUUGAAGAGGAAAAGAGGCGCAAGCUUCUGCUGAUGGAUGGACCCGCGGUGCAUUAGCUAGUUGGUGAGGUAACGGCUCACCAAGGCCGUGAUGCAUAGCCGACCUGAGAGGGUGAUCGGCCACAUUGGGACUGAGACACGGCCCAAACUCCUACGGGAGGCAGCAGUAGGGAAUCUUCCGCAAUGGACGCAAGUCUGACGGAGCAACGCCGCGUGAGUGAAGAAGGUUUUCGGAUCGUAAAACUCUGUUGUUAGAGAAGAACAAGUGCUAGAGUAACUGUUAGCGCCUUGACGGUAUCUAACCAGAAAGCCACGGCUAACUACGUG
rnacentral:rRNA from 1 species